CACAGUUGCAUAAUAUUUUAAUAAUAUACAAUUAUUUUUUGUAAUUCAUAUUUUUUCUGUUAAUUAAAAAUUUACUUUGUGAAAUUUGUAUUUGAGAAUGAAGAAUGUGACAAUAUAUUGUCCAGUGCAGUGUUAUGAAAUGUAUAUUUGUUUUAUGCUUACAGAUAUGUUUUUCUUGACAGAGGCUCUGCAGAGGUUAGACAAAGCAGAGAAAAUAUGUGCUUUACAUUUUACUGUGAUUUACUGGGAUAUUUGUUGCCUGAUGUUUAGCAGGAAUGGAGAAAUGGAAUCAAAGGGAGAUGUUUUUGAUGUUUUUGUAAUGAUGUAGGUAAAUCUCCAGUUUCUGAGUGAGGGAGAGAGGAGUCAUCAUCCAGGUAAAGUGACGUGGAUCAGUGGAUACACUUGUCUCCCCUUUAGAGGAGAUACUCUUAGAGAGAGACGAUCCGAGUCAUCAUAAAAUAUGGGAAGGAUAUCACUAUUGGACUGUCUAACCUGCAGGAGCAGCACUGAAUGAUCACCACACAUGAGCAUGUUCCUGCAACAUUCAGCAUCUGAUCUGCCAUCUGUGUGCUUCUGCUUUUGUGUCAAAUGUCAAACAGCUGGAGAGGAAACUACACCAGUGUACUGGGAUGCUUCAUCAACACGUGCCAGACGCUGUUCCUCAUUUGUUACUAACAAAGUUCACCAAACUCACACAGUUUACAUUCUGUAUGUUUCCAUCUUUACCAGCCACACUUUACCCGCAAUUAAGCAAAUAAUCCUUAGAAAUCCUCGUUUUUCUCUUUUGUAAUUGAUGAUAAUUCAGUGAAUAUACUGCGCUGCUUCCUUUUAUUGCGUCUCACAUUGUUUUAAGUUUUUCAGUGUCCAGUUAUUUUUUUACUGCUGUUUGAAUUCUCUGCAUGUUCUCUGCAUGUUUGACCCUGUAGACUGUUUAAUGGACUGCUUGUCUUGUAACUGCUGCCUG